UGCUGUCAAAGGCAGCCUUCUUUCUCCAGCUGAUUUUUGGGUCUUUUUCUAGGUUAUUCCAAUUAUUAUUUUUUAAAAAGUCUUCAGGGCAUUUCAGGACAAACCUGUACAAAGUUUUUUAGUGUCAGCAUUCCCAGCAAGCCGCGUCCCUCUGUUACAGCCCUCUGCUGGAGGAGUUCUGUGAGAACAGCCAAAAAUGGGCAGUGAUUCCCAUAUGGAGGAUCUGAGAUGUUUGUGUGGGGGAGGGCACUGAGUAACUGCAGAAGCAGUCCCUUUUUCUGCAGAAGAACUUGGCCAUGUAUGUGUUUGGCCAUACAGAAGGACAGCAGAGACUCCAGCAGCUUGGUUGGUCAGUGUAUGGAUGGGUGGGGGGAGGUGAGACGAGGUGAGGGAUAGGGUUAUGGAGGCUGAAAACUUACACCUUUCCUUCAGUGAACGUAUGCUGAUGAUAACUACAUUCAAGUGAAGAGAGAAAGCAGUUCUGCGUGUGUUAAUGAUUUAACAGUAGUGCCACUGUUGGAAAACUGGAUGUGAGAAGAGAAAAUGGCCUGCUUUCCUCGCUUCAGAACUGGAAGACUUAAUCAGGUCUUGUCUUAAUGUGUAAAUCAAUGUCAACCAUAUGGUGUAGGACCAAAUUUUAUUAUCGUGGUGCAAUCCCAUUAAACUUCUGUUCUCAUGGUUAAGCAGAUGUGGCAGUUGGAUAAAUGAUAGAGAAUCUGGCCCAUACGUUGUCUUUCAGGCACUGCUCGUGCGUUAGUCCCAGUAACCAAUGUCUUCACGUCCAACCAGUUACCCACCAUUAAAAUGGGAAUUCCCAUUUUAAACAUCGAGUCCAAUUCUUUUUUUAAUUCUGUAAGUGCCUUUGUUUCAGAAAUGUUCUGUGGAAUCAAAUACAGUACAAUACUCUGUCAUACGGAAUUCUCUGGAGAAUCGUUGACUUUAUUACACACUGUAAACCAGCUUCGUAUGUUGUUUGUAGUUCAAACGUAAGUCUUCAAAAGAAAUGGCAUAAACUCUUUGCACCUUUGUAAUAAAUGCAGUGUUUGAAAUAUAUUCUAUCACUUUUGUU
rnacentral:lncRNA from 7 species